GCUCAGGAUGAACGCUAGCGGCAGGCCUAACACAUGCAAGUCGAGGGGUAACAGGGAAAAGCUUGCUUUUCCGCUGACGACCGGCGCACGGGUGCGGAACGCGUAUCGAACCUGCCCCCUUCAGGGGAACAGCCCAUGGAAACGUGGAUUAAUGCCCCAUGGCACCCAGGGACCACCUGGUUUUUGGGUUAAAGAUUUAUCGGAAGGGGAUGGCGAUGCGUGCCAUUAGCUUGUUGGUAAGGUAACGGCUUACCAAGGCAACGAUGGCUAGGGGCCCUGAGAGGGGGAUCCCCCACACUGGUACUGAGACACGGACCAGACUCCUACGGGAGGCAGCAGUGAGGAAUAUUGGACAAUGGUGGGAACACUGAUCCAGCCAUGCCGCGUGCAGGAUGACUGCCCUAUGGGUUGUAAACUGCUUUUACAUGGGAAGAAACCUCCCCUUGCGAGGGGAUCUGACGGUACCAUGAGAAUAAGGACCGGCUAACUCCGUGCCAGCAGCCGCGGUAAUACGGAGGGUCCGAGCGUUAUCCGGAAUCAUUGGGUUUAAAGGGUCCGUAGGUGGGCCAUUAAGUCAGGGGUGAAAGUCUGCGGCUCAACCGUAGAAUUGCCUUUGAUACUGGUGGUCUUGAGUCGUUGUGGGGUUGCCGGAACAUGUGGUGUAGCGGUGAAAUGCAUAGAUAUCACAUAGAACACCGAUCGCGAAGGCAGGUGACCAACAACGUACUGACACUGAUGGACGAAAGCGUGGGUAGCGAACGGGAUUAGAUACCCCGGUAGUCCACGCCGUAAACGAUGGAUACUAGCUGUGGGGACCUCGGUCUCCGUGGCCAAGCGAAAGUGAUAAGUAUCCCACCUGGGGAGUACGUUCGCAAGAAUGAAACUCAAA
rnacentral:rRNA from 1 species